CUGUUCGUGCUGGAGGUGACAGAGAAUAGGCCUCGGAGGCAGUGUGGCGGGGAGGGGACGGAAGUGGGACUGGGGAGCGAAUUUGAAGGCGGGGCCAGAGGAAAGAUUCUGGAAACUUCUCGAGCCGCCAACUUGCACAUGGCGUGUGGUGAAAUCAAGCAGUCGUGUGCUGCGGCGUGCCUCAUCCUGUUUGGGUUCCACUCUGUGGGUGUCAACGGCCUUAUUUCUCCGAGUCCUAAGAAACAUACAGUUUCAGACUGGCAUCUGGAGAAUAGGAUGAUCCUCGUAAGGCUGGGAUGAAGCACGCCAGGCAAAUGGAAGACCCAGAAGUCCAGCUUUGAAGAAAACCUGGAAAAAAGGAGGAUCCCGAAUCUACCCCAUGGUACAGGAGAGACAGAAAUAGAAGAAGGGCAUGGAGCAGUAA